UACGGGGGGGGCAAGCGUUGUUCGGAAUUACUGGGCGUAAAGGGCUCGUAGGCGGCUAACUAAGUCAGACGUGAAAUCCCUCGGCUUAACCGGGGAACUGCGUCUGAUACUGGAUGGCUUGAGUUCGGGAGAGGGAUGCGGAAUUCCAGGUGUAGCGGUGAAAUGCGUAGAUAUCUGGAGGAACACCGGUGGCGAAGGCGGCAUCCUGGACCGACACUGACGCUGAGGAGCGAAAGCCAGGGGAGCAAACGGG
rnacentral:rRNA from 1 species